rnacentral:rRNA from 1 species
GAUGAACGCUGGCGGCGUGCCUAAUACAUGCAAGUCGAGCGAACAGACGAGGAUCUUGCUCCUCUUACGUUAGCGUCGGACGUGUUAGUAACACGGGGAUAACCUACCUAUUAGACUGGGAUAACUUCGGGAAACCGGAUCUAAUACCGGAUAAUAUAUUGAAUCGCAUGGUUCAAUAGUGUAAGACGGUUUUGCUGUCACUUGUAGAUUGAUCCGCGCCGGAUUAGCUAGUUGGUAAGGUAACGGCUUACCAAGGCGACGAUGCGUAGCCGACCUGAGAGGGUGAUCGGACACACUGGAACUGAGACAGGGUCCAGACUCCUACGGGAGGCAGCAGUAGGGAAUCUUACGCAAUGGGCGAGAGCCUGACGGAGCAAAGCCGCGUGAGUGAUGAAGGUCUUCGGAUCGUAAAACUCUGUUAUUAGGGAAGAACAAAUGUGUAAGUAACUAUGCACGUAUUGACGGUACCUAAUCAGAAAGCCACGGCUAACUACGUG